rnacentral:rRNA from 1 species
ACGAACGCUGGCGGCGUGCCUAAUACAUGCAAGUCGAACGCACUCUCGUUUGGAUUGAAGGAGUUUGCUCCUGAUUGAUAAACAUUUGAGUGAGUGGCGGACGGGUGAGUAACACGUGGGUAACCUGCCCUAAAGUGGGGGAUAACAUUUGGAAACAGAUGCUAAUCCCGCAUAAAACCUAACACCGCAUGGUGUAGGGUUGAAAGAUGGUUUCGGCUAUCACUUUAGGAUGGACCCGCGGUGCAUUAGUUAGUUGGUGAGGUAAAGGCUCACCAAGACCGUGAUGCAUAGCCGACCUGAGAGGGUGAUCGGCCACACUGGGACUGAGACACGGCCCAGACUCCUACGGGAGGCAGCAGUAGGGAAUCUUCCACAAUGGACGAAAGUCUGAUGGAGCAACGCCGCGUGAGUGAAGAAGGUUUUCGGAUCGUAAAACUCUGUUGUUGGAGAAGAAUGUAUCUGAUAGUAACUGAUCAGGUAGUGACGGUAUCCAACCAGAAAGCCACGGCUAACUACGUG